GGGUAGAGUGGCCGACAGUAAGUGGCAAGCUGUAGUCCUGCWGACAUAGGGAUYAGUCCUGUUUCUA
rnacentral:tRNA from 1 species